AGUUUGAAAUGUUCCAAGCCGGUUGGAACCAGUUCCAAUCAGUCUGAAUCGGUUCCAGCCAGUCGGAACUGGUUCCAACCGGCUUUGAACAUUUCAAACC